GAUGAACGCUGGCGGCGUGCCUAAUACAUGCAAGUCGAGCGAAUGGAUUAAGAGCUUGCUCUUAUGAAGUUAGCGGCGGACGGGUGAGUAACACGUGGGUAACCUGCCCAUAAGACUGGGAUAACUCCGGGAAACCGGGGCUAAUACCGGGUAACAUUUUGAACCGCAUGGUUCGAAAUUGAAAGGCGGCUUCGGCUGUCACUUAUGGAUGGACCCGCGUCGCAUUAGCUAGUUGGUGAGGUAACGGCUCACCAAGGCAACGAUGCGUAGCCGACCUAAGAGGGUGAUCGGCCACCCUGGGACUGAGACACGGCCCAGACUCCUACGGGAGGCAGCAGUAGGGAAUCUUCCGCAAUGGACGAAAGUCUGACGGAGCAACGCCGCGUGAGUGAUGAAGGCUUUCGGGUCGUAAAACUCUGUUGUUAGGGAAGAACAAGUGCUAGUUGAAUAAGCUGGCACCUUGACGGUACCUAACCAGAAAGCCACGGCUAACUACGUGCCAGCCGCCGCAGUAA
rnacentral:rRNA from 1 species